GUGCAGCAGGCGAGAAAACUUUACAAUGCGGGAAACCGUGAUAAGGGAAUCUCGAGUGCCAGCAUAUAAUGUUGGCUGUCCAGAUGCCUAAAAAGCAUCUGUUAGCAAGGGCCGGGCAAGACCGGUGCCAGCCGCCGCGGUAACACCGGCGGCCCGAGUGGUAACCGUUUUUAUUGGGUCUAAAGGGUCUGUAGCCGGCCAUGUAAGUCCCUUGGGAAAUCUGGCAGCUCAACUGUCAGGCUGCUAGGGGAUACUGCUUGGCUUGGGACCGGGAGAGGUGAGAGGUACCUUGAGGGUAGGGGUGAAAUCUUGUGAUCCUCGGGGGACCACCAGUGGCGAAGGCGUCUCACCAGAACGGGUCCGACGGUAAGGGACGAAAGCUAGGGGCACGAACCGGAUUAGAUACCCACGUAGUCC
rnacentral:rRNA from 1 species